rnacentral:rRNA from 1 species
UUUGGAGGGGCAAGUCUGGUGCCAGCAGCCGCGGUAAUUCCAGCUCCAAUAGCGUAUAUUAAAGUUGUUGCAGUUAAAAAGCUCGUAGUUGAAGUUCAGGCCUGGCCGGCCGGUCCGCCUCACGGCGUGUACUGUUUGGCCGGGCCUUCCCUCUUGGUGGUCCGGCAUGCUCUUUACUGGGUGUGUCGGGGAACCAGGAUUUUUACUUUGAAAAAAUUAGAGUGUUCAAAGCAGGCCUAUGCCCGAAUAUAUUAGCAUGGAAUAAUAAAAUAGGACGUGCGGUUCUAUUUUGUUGGUUUCUAGAAUCGCCGUAAUGAUUAAUAGGGACAGUCGGGGGCAUUAGUAUUCACAUGCUAGAGGUGAAAUUCUUGGAUUUUGUGAAGACUAACUUCUGCGAAAGCAUUUGCCAAGGAUGUUUUCAUUAAUCAAGAACGAAGGUUAGGGGAUCGAAAACGAUUAGAUACCGUUGUAGUCUUAACAGUAAACUAUGCCGACUAGGGAUC